UACGGGGGGUGCUAGCGUUGUUCGGAAUUACUGGGCGUAAAGCGCACGUAGGCGGAUUUGUAAGUCAGGGGUGAAAUCCCGGAGCUCAACUCCGGAACUGCCUUUGAUACUGCAAGUCUCGAGUCCGGAAGAGGUGAGUGGAACUCCUAGUGUAGAGGUGAAAUUCGUAGAUAUUAGGAAGAACACCAGUGGCGAAGGCGGCUCACUGGUCCGGUACUGACGCUGAGGUGCGAAAGCGUGGGGAGCAAACAGG
rnacentral:rRNA from 1 species